CAUAACCAAAUCCUGCAGGUAGAUGUGCUCUUGAGUGAACUCACGGUGGUGUCCCUAUGGAGUCUCGUUCUGUCUCCCAGGCUGGAGUGCAGUAACGCGAUCUUGGCUCACUGCACUUCUGCCUCCCGGGUUCAAGGGAUUUUCCUGCCUCAGUCUCCAGAGUAACUGUGAUUACAGGCACCUGCCAGCAUGCCCGGCUAGUUUUUUUGUACUUUUAGUAGAGACGGGGUUUCACCAUGUUGGCCAGGCUGGUCUCAAACUCCUAACCUCAGGCGAUCCGCCUGCCCGGCCUCCCAAAAUGCUGGGAUUACAGGCAUGAGCCACCGCGCCCAGAUAUUUUAAAUUAUACAUAAUUUCAUUCAUGUUAGCUAGUUAAUACAAUAGGACCAAAAUCUAUAUAUUAACAGGGAUUUGGAUGAAUUAAAUGUGAAAUAAAAAUCAUAGUUAUUAUAGGGGAUUCCCAUAUAUAUUUUAUGUGCAUAUAUGCAUCUAUUUGAUUACUAUCUAUAUUGUGUGUCUGCACAAAUAUAUAUUUUAUAUUAUCUUAUAUAAUAUAUAUUUACAUAUCUAUAUAAUCACACAUGAUAUAUAUAAUUUCUAUGUAAUUAUACAUUAUAUAUUAUAUUAUAUAAUAUAGAAGUAUAUGUUAUAAUAUAUUAUAUAAUAUAAAAGUAUAUAUUAUAAUAUAUACUUCUAGACUAUGUCCUAAACUCU
rnacentral:lncRNA from 10 species